rnacentral:rRNA from 1 species
GACGAACGCUGGCGGCGUGCUUAACACAUGCAAGUCGAACGGAAAGGCCCUGCUUGCAGGGUACUCGAGUGGCGAACGGGUGAGUAACACGUGGGUGAUCUGCCCUCCACUCCGGGAUAAGCCUGGGAAACUGGGCCUAAUACCGGAUAGGAGCCAUUUUUAGUGUGAUGGUUGGAAAUUUUUUUCGGUGUAGGAUGAGCUCGCGGCCUAUCAGCUUGUUGGUGGGGUAAUGGCCUACCAAGGCGGCGACGGGUAGCCGGCCUGAGAGGGUGGACGGCCACAUUGGGACUGAGAUACGGCCCAGACUCCUACGGGAGGCAGCAGUGGGGAAUAUUGCACAAUGGGCGCAAGCCUGAUGCAGCGACGCCGCGUGGGGGAUGACGGCCUUCGGGUUGUAAACUCCUUUCGCUAGGGACGAAGCUUUUUGUGACGGUACCUAGAUAAGAAGCACCGGCUAACUACGUG